rnacentral:rRNA from 1 species
CUGGUGAGUAACACGUGAGUAACCUGCCCUUGACUUUGGGAUAACUUCAGGAAACUGGGGCUAAUACCGGAUAGGAGCUCCUGCUGCAUGGUGGGGGUUGGAAAGUUUCGGCGGUUGGGGAUGGACUCGCGGCUUAUCAGCUUGUUGGUGGGGUAGUGGCUUACCAAGGCUUUGACGGGUAGCCGGCCUGAGAGGGUGACCGGCCACAUUGGGACUGAGAUACGGCCCAG